AUAAGAUCGAAAUACUUAUUCCUCGUUCAGGGUCACAUGUGGCCAACUUUGAGUUAUGGUGGUAUCGGUUGCCGAUCACCUUGUGCCGGCGCCAGAAAAACGUGAAUCCUUCGAACGAGCGCUCACCAUCGUUUCCCAAGGGGGCCGCUGCUUGCAGACCGCUUCAUCAUUGAUUCAGCCACGUGUAUAGGCGCAUGUAGUACGUACGCACGUAUACGUGUAUUCGUGACAUUCACGCUCGCAGUCUUUCCUGUUUCAUUCCCGCGGCACCGAAUCAGUAAGCAGUGUGACGCCGAGCAAAGCAUUUCGCUGGUUUUCAGAGAAUUUCUCAUUCGAUGGUGUUUCAUCGGUCCAAUUGGAUCGCAGUUGAUCGAGAGGAGAAAACAUUCUCGAAGAAUUGAGAUCGAAGCAGAAACAGCGAGCCAGGCGCUCGGCGGCUGCGUAAAUGGCCAAGAGUCUCCGUGUAACAGGUGUACAAGAAGGAUUACUCUGAUGACGCCUUAAAUCCAAACAGCGAAGGGAACGACACGAAAGAAAGAUGGAAAUCCUGGGCGUGAAGUUUGCGCCGUUAAACGUGUCCCUGAGACGAAGACUCGAAACACUUUCGGCAGCGACAUGGAUCGUUUUCUUAGCAUUUGGGGAUUUCUUCGGGUAUGCUAUCACCGCUUAUCUCCUCUUCUGCACGGAGACUCUACGGUAUUUCAUUCUGCUCUACUUCGUCUGGAUGUAUUACGACUGGGACACGUGUAAUCGAGGCGGUAGAAGGGAAUGGUACACGAGAUGGCUGAGAAAGUGCACGUGGCUCCGUUACUUUUGCAACUAUUUUCCCAUCAAAUUAGAGAAAACCGUUGAUCUGGAUCCGAACAAGUCCUACUUGUUCUGCAGCUUUCCCCAUGGAAUUCUAGCGAUAGGAACUUUCGGUGCUUUCGGAACGGAUUGUCUCGGCUGCAAGGAAAUGUUUCCUGGACUGGACUUCCGGGUCAUCAUUCUGGACCAACAUUUCAGAAUCCCUCUGUUCCGCGAAUACGCUUCUAUGAACGGUGGCGUCAGCAGCACCGCAGAAAGUUUAAACUAUCUCCUAUCGACGAAGCCUGAACCGCCAUUCACUGGAAGAGGAACAAUUUUAAUCGUCGGUGGAGCGUCGGAAACUUUCGAAUGUAAACCAGGCACUUAUCGUAUCCUCGUGAAAAGAAGGAAAGGCUUCGUGAAGAUCGCGCUGAGGAAUGGGACACCUCUCGUACCUGUGUUUUCGUUCGGCGAAACGGAUAUAUACGAUCAGGUCUACAGGCCAAAGGACUCGUAUCUGCGGAGAGCACAGGACUACAUUCGGAAGAAAAUAGGUCUAGCUCCGGUCCUUCUGAUAGGACGAGGAUUCUUUCAGUAUUCCUUUGGUAUCAUCCCACGUCGAAAACGUAUCACUGUUGUCGUCGGCAGUCCCUUGGAGUUGCCAAAGAUACCUGAACCAACUCCAGAACAGGUCGACGAAUACCACCAGAAAUUCAUAGAUCGCUUGGUCGAGCUUUUCGAGAGCCACAAGCACAAAUACGUGGAGAACGCCGAUUCGGUAACCCUGGAGUUGUUAUCGUGAUACGGAUUACCACGCAGUAGUGAUACGCGACGAAUCUGUGAAUCUUUGUGAAAACUUUCGAGAGAAGGUAUUCUUUUUCAUUUACCUUGUCUUGCCAUUCCUUGUUCGAAAUGCAGUCGCGGAAUUUCAUCCGCGAGAAGUGUACGGUACUGUACAGAGGUAUCCACUUGCUCGGUAUCCGUCGGUAAAGGAACGUGUCCAAAU